UGCUGGGGUGGCAGAAUAUGUGGUAGGUUGUAGCCCUUCUUAUGCGGUGAAUAUCGCUCCCAGUAA
rnacentral:tRNA from 1 species